GUUCAAUUUGGGGUCAUGGUGGGGGGAGGUUACGGUUGGACUGGGGGAUCCUAGAAGGCUCUUCCAACCUUAAUGACUCUACGGUUCAAUUUGGGGUCAUGGUGGGGGUAGGUUGGGGUUGGAGUGUCAAAACUUGAGGUCUCCUCCAACCCUAAUGAUUCUAAUUAAGGUCAUGGUCAGGGAGGGUUGGGGUUGGACUGGAUGACCUUGAAGGUCUCUUCUGACCUUAAUGACUCUAUGGUUCUAUUUAGGGUCAUGGUGGGGUAGGUUGGGGUUGGACUGGAUGACCUUGAAGGUCUCUUCUGACCUUAAUGACUCUAUGGGCCUAUUUAGGGUCAUGGUGGGGUAGGUUAGGGUUGGACUGGGGGAUCCUAGA